GCCUGGCUAGCUCAAUUGGUUAGAGCAUGGUGCUGAUAACACCAAGCUUGCAGGUUCAAUCCUUGUAUGGGACA
rnacentral:tRNA from 1 species